rnacentral:lncRNA from 10 species
CUGGAGGCCAUUAUCCUUAGCAAACUAACACAAGAACAGAAAACCAAAUACCGCAUGUUCUUCCUUAUAAGUGGGAGCUACAUGAUGAGAUGAGAACAUUGCCCAAAGGAACCAAGUGAAAUUACCAAAUUAGAAGUGAUAAGAGGUUGACUCUCUCCAGAAAUUUAUUGUAAUUAGAAAGAGGUAAUGGUGUCUAAAUAAGAUGAAAGAAGAUAUUUUAAAGAUGAUAAUAACAAAAACUACUAGAAUGAGGUGAAGCCAGAAAGGAAGAGUCAUAAUCAAAGAAGAGAGUGAUCAAGAAUCCAAAAUAGACAGAGAGAGCAGGCUCUUAGAGAAAUGGGAGAACUACCGCACUGACUCUGCACGUAGGAGACAGGCAGGAGAGGAGCGCCCCAGCCAGAGCUCAACAUGCGCAAACAGGAAGUGUGUCCGAGGUUUUCUGGAGCUCACAGGAGCCGGGGACCCACAGCCAGACGUUUAUCUGAAAGAAAAGCAGACAAGACAAACUAAAUCAGCAACCAUCCCUUUGGAUGCCAGCUGACCUCGGAUGGAGAUUUAGUGCUAGAUGUAAAAGGCUUUGUUUACAGACAAUUAAAAACCACAUAAAUUUAAAUUGUCAAAGAAGAAAUGGUUUCCAAAGCUUCUAACAGCCUGGUAGCCCCUCCUCAGCCCUGUGCAGGAAAGGCCCAGAGGCAAAUACAAAGCCACCAACCCAAAUGCCUGUGGAGUUUGCCAGAAAGCCAGAUCCUGCUGCUUCUGCUGCUUGUUACUGAUGUUGAAAAAUAAAAUCUUAUACAGCUUCAAAUGUAGGUUCUUUGAGUGCUAAUCAAACAGCAAGAAGGCAACA